CAGCAGCCGCGGGAAAACGAAGGGGGCUAGCGUUGUUCGGAAUCACUGGGCGUAAAGGGUGCGUAGGCGGGAUUUUAAGUCAGGGGUGAAAUCCCGAGGCUCAACCUCGGAACUGCCUUUGAUACUGGGGUCCUUGAGUCCGGAAGAGGUGAGUGGAACUGCGAGUGUAGAGGUGAAAUUCGUAGAUAUUCGCAAGAACACCGGUGGCGAAGGCGGCUCACUGGUCCGGAACUGACGCUGAGGCACGAAAGCUAGGGGAGCAAAUGGGAUUAGAUACCCCAGUAGUCCCUGUCUCUUAUAC
rnacentral:rRNA from 1 species